AUCAAUCUUGGGAUCUUGCAUUUGCGAGGCAGGUGGCAGCACCAUUGAGCUAAAUCUCUGGCCAAGGUGUUGUGUGUUUUUGAAGACAGGUGUAGACUACUGAGUCUCAGCCAGGGCAGGUUUUGCCUCCUUGAGGACACUGGGCAGUGUCUGGAGACAUUUUUGAUGGUCACGCCAGGCAGAGGGAAUUUAGAGGUCGGAGUUCCUAGAUGGAGCUAAACCCUCUCAAGGUACAGACAGUCCCCCAAGCAUGAGCAACUGUGAAAGUCUGUGGAGAGGUGACUGCUUUCUGUCCUUCCCUGGAUUUCCCUGGAGUCUCCUUUCACCAGUUCCUUUCACCCUUCCUGCCAUGCCCCAGACCUCAGCCCCUGCCACCUGCACCAACACUUCCGACCUCCGAAUUUGUCCAAGGUCAGCCUCAACGCUCCCCUCCCCGGCCCCUCUGCGCUUCUAGCAGGAAGUGUCCACUAGAGGGCGUGCAGCCCUUCCCCGAGUUCCUGUGACCCUGGCCAUUCCUGAGACCUAGGCAGCAGUGGCUUUUCCUGGCCAGCCCUAGUCUUCAGACAGACUUCAGAUUCCCUAGGCUGAAACCUCUGGGUCAGGCACUAGGGACACGGGGAGGAACCUCACUGGAGGAUGUGGUGGUAUGAGCUGGUGACCUGGGACCAGCAUGAGGGCCCAGGUCACUGGGGAGAGGAAGCCUCUUUAUACAGUGGCUGGGUCCCCAGGGCCAAUGCCCCUGCCUAUGUGUUCCACUGGGGAAAGGGACAGUGAGCCAGUACCUCUAGAGGCUCUGUUACUUAAGAUCUGUGUAUGUGGAUCUUGUUUGGGCUCCUGUGGAACCUUUCAGACUGGACUGGACCUUCUACAGCGCGAGAAGGAUCCUCUAAAUCCUUCAAGCAGUGCCCUCACCUGGAAGAAACAGGAGGGAUGUGACAGCCACGAUGGUACAGAUUCCCAUUAGACCCAGAGCGGGCAGGGAGUUUCUGGGCUUCAUCGUCACCCAGAAUCAGGACCAAGAGGCUAGAUGUGGAGCUGGGACCUUCCCACAGACUCAGACAACGGAGGAACCCAGGUAGGGUCUGGUAAGUGGGUGUGGGGAACUGCUGCUCUCCCAGGAGGUGGGAAUGCCUGGUUGAUGGGCUGUCGGGAGUUCAGCCUUCUGAAUGCUGUAGGCUGAGUCCCAGGGCUAGGGUGGUUCCGCUGAGAAUCCAGCCCAGUCCCAGUAAACAACCCAGAACCUCGCACAGCAGUCUUAUGCCCCAGCUCCCAGCUGUGGCUUCCUCAUACCUGAGGCCUUCAGUCCUGCAACACUUUGUCUCCAUCCUACUGUGCAGGUCUGUCUGACUGCUGGCCUCCCCUCAUAACCUCCAGGUCUCUGGAGAGGUCAUCAGCCUGUCUGCAUCCCCAUCAGGGAGUGCUGGAAACAUACAAUCCAUUUUAACGUGUCUGAAUGCCGUCAGCAUCUCAGCUUCUGCAGUGUCCCUCAGGCGGCACAUGAAGAUGUACACUGUAACCACAUCUCACGACAGUAUGAAGAGAAACAAACUAUAACAACCACACUAUAAAGGAAAGCCAACGGAAUACAACAGAUCCCCAAGUGGCCCUGGGACACGAACAUGGAAAUAAAUGGCUUUCCCCCGGCUUUGUUCCUCUUUUAGUCUCCGUAAGCCCAGA